AAGAGACAGGUGAGUCAUCGAAUCUUUGAACGCACAUUGCGCCCCCUGGUAUUCCGGGGGGCAUGCCUGUCCGAGCGUCAUUACUGCCCUCAAGCGCGGCUUGUGUGUUGGGCCUCGUCCCCCCGGGGACGUGCCCGAAAGGCAGUGGCGGCGCCGUGUCCGGUCCUCGAGCGUAUGGGGCUUUGUCACCCGCUCUGGAGGCCCGGCCGGCAGCCGCCGACCCAACCCCAAAUUUUUUACCGGUUGACCUCGGAUCAGGCAGGGAUACCCGCUGAACUUAAGCAUAUCAAUAAGCGGAGG
rnacentral:misc_RNA from 1 species